rnacentral:rRNA from 1 species
GACGAGCCUCACAAACGUUAUUCGGAAUUACUGGGCGUAAAGGGCGCGUAGGCGGUUCAUUAAGUUGGAUGUGAAAACUCUGGGCUUAACCCAGAGCCUGCAUUCAAAACUGAUGGGCUGGAGUUCUGGAGGGGAUAGCGGAAUUCCUGGUGUAGCGGUGAAAUGCGUAGAUAUCAGGAGGAACACCGGUGGCGAAGGCGGCUAUCUGGACAGAAACUGACGCUGAGGCGCGAAAGCUAGGGGAGCAAACAGG